GACGAACGCUGGCGGCGUGCUUAACACAUGCAAGUCGAGCGGUAAGGCCCUUUCGGGGUACGACGAGCGGCGAACGGGUGAGUAACACGUGGGUGACCUCGCCCUCCAGCUCUGGGAGUAAGCCUGGGAAACGUGGGUCGUAAUACUGGAUAUGACUCCACGGUGCAUGUCGUGGGGUGGAAAGCCUUGUGCGGCUGAGGAUGGGCCCGCGGCCUAUCAGCUUGUUGGUGGGGUGAGGCCUACCAAGGCGACGACGGGUAGCCGGCCUGAGAGGGCGACCGGCCACACUGGGACUGAGAUACGGCCCAGACUCCUACGGGAGGCAGCAGUGGGGAA
rnacentral:rRNA from 1 species